UUCAACAUACUUUACAACUUAACUUCACAUUUUAUCCCAAGCAGAACUUGGCAUUAUCCUUUUCCUGUAUCUGGCCGUAUUCGUCUUAUCUGCAAUGUUUUAUCAUGAUAUAGCAAUGGUGAGCAUGAAAGUUGCCCAACAAGUUUAAAAAAAACAAGGUAAAGAUAUAUCAUGAUUGAAAGAGUUUGAAUAAUAAGCUGGCUAUCNNNN
rnacentral:lncRNA from 1 species